rnacentral:rRNA from 1 species
GUCUUUUUGAUUAUAAUUUAAAGUUUAACCUGCCCAAUGAUUUUUAAAUGGCCGCGGUAUUUUGACUGUGCAAAGGUAGCAUAAUCAUUAGUUUUUUAAUUGAAAGCUGGAAUGAAGGGUUGAAUGAGAAAAUAUCUGUCUCUAGUUAAAUUUAUUUGAAUUUUAUUUUUAAGUUAAAAAGCUUAAAUAUUUAUUAAAGACGAGAAGACCCUAUAGAGUUUUAUAUUUUUUUUUAAAUUAAGUAUAUGGUAUUUAGUUAUUUAAUUUUUUGAAAGUAUUUAAUUGGGGUGAUUAAAAAAUUAGGAAAACUUUUUUUUUCAUUUUUACAUUGAUUUAUGAAUAUUUGAUCCUUAUAUAAAGAUUAAAAGAUUAAAUUACCUUAGGGAUAACAGCGUAAUUUUUUUUGAGAGUUCUAAUCGAAAAAAUAGAUUGCGACCUCGAUGUUGGAUUAAAA